rnacentral:tRNA from 1 species
GGCGAUGUAGUGUAGCGGUUAUCACUCAAGAUUCUGAUUCUUGUAACCCCGGUUCGAAUCCGGGCAUUGCCU